rnacentral:lncRNA from 1 species
UUCUUUUAUGGAAAUGGACACAAGAUAGAGGAAGUGGGAUAUUAUGUGUUGUUAUAUCUCUUACUAUUGUUAUAUCUUAGUAUUUUAGAGGCAUCUUGGCUGUAUGAUGUAGUUUUUGUAUUGUUAUAUCUUGGGAUAUUAUGUGGUGUAAUAUCUUUGUAUUGUUAUACCGUAGUAGUGAUAAUUUAUUGGUUAUCUUUUGGAUUGAUUAUGUAUUUUUGGAUAAGUAGUUGACAAUAUACUUGAAUAUAAAUAUAUAUUAUGUUCA